rnacentral:rRNA from 1 species
UACGUAGGGUGCAAGCGUUAAUCGGAAUUACUGGGCGUAAAGCGUGCGCAGGCGGUUUUGUAAGUCUGUCGUGAAAGCCCCGGGCUCAACCUGGGAAUUGCGAUGGAGACUGCAAGGCUUGAAUCUGGCAGAGGGGGGUAGAAUUCCACGUGUAGCAGUGAAAUGCGUAGAGAUGUGGAGGAACACCGAUGCCGAAGGCAGCCCCCUGGGUCAAGAUUGACGCUCAUGCACGAAAGCGUGGGGAGCAAACAGG